rnacentral:rRNA from 1 species
AAUAGAUACCCUGGUAGUCCACGCCGUAAACGAUGAGUGCUAAGUGUUAGAGGGUUUCCGCCCUUUAGUGCUGAAGUUAACGCAUUAAGCACUCCGCCUGGGGAGUACGGCCGCAAGGCUGAAACUCAAAGGAAUUGACGGGGGCCCGCACAAGCGGUGGAGCAUGUGGUUUAAUUCGAAGCAACGCGAAGAACCUUACCAGGUCUUGACAUCCUCUGACAACCCUAGAGAUAGGGCUUCUCCUUCGGGAGCAGAGUGACAGGUGGUGCAUGGUUGUCGUCAGCUCGUGUCGUGAGAUGUUGGGUUAAGUCCCGCAACGAGCGCAACCCUUGAUCUUAGUUGCCAUCAUUAAGUUGGGCACUCCAAGGUGACUGCCGGUGACAAACCGGAGGAAGGUGGGGAUGACGUCAAAUCAUCAUGCCCCUUAUGACCUGGGCUACACACGUGCUACAAUGGACGGUACAAAGAGUUGCAAGACCGCGAGGUGGAGCUAAUCUCAUAAAACCGUUCUCAGUUCGGA